rnacentral:rRNA from 11 species
GGCAACAUGGUUUGUUAGGCCUCAUCAGAUCCCGUCUGAUCUGGAAGCUAAGCAGAGUCAGCCCUGGUUAUAGAACUUAAAUGGGAGACUGCCAAUGAAUACCAGGUACUGUAGGCU